ACGCAGAGGUUGUCAAACAAUGAAGCGCAGAAAGAGGGAGAAGGAGAGGCUAGGGUAGGUUCCCACAUGACAGUGCUUGACAUCCGCGUGCGUGCGUACAUGUGUGGGGCAACAAAUGGGAGAGGCUUUGUGUACUGUGCGCUUUCCCGCGCUGUUUUUGUGCUUCUUUCUUUGGCGUGACAGAGUUCACCUCCUCUGUUUCCUUUCUCGCGUUGCGCACUUGCAACUGACUACAUCCUACGGUAUAGGCGCACCGAGGGACGGAUGUGGAGGAUGCCGAAGUCUCACUUCUCUUCUCCUGCCCCCCCCCCCCCCCCACGGAGAACAGAAGAAACAAACAAAGCGCUGGCCUUGUCGGGGUGGGGACCGGCGAGUGCAUGGUGGCGCUUCUUCCAUUUUGUGGGGUCGCGCAUCCGUCCACCUCCUUCUCUUCUUCCCAGGCUUCUUCUUUUUCGCACACGUCAUCCACGGGCGCUUGAGAGCUUUUCUCCCCCCGGCAUCUCAUUGCAAACGAGUGCUGCUGCUCUCUUGUACGGGGAGGGGGGGGGCUCUCAGCUGCACCUGUCGGGCAGCUUUCGGCCGCGACGUACGGGUGUGUAUGCGCGUGUGGGGCGGAAUAGCUCUCUUUUACUCCCUCUUAUGUUGGGGAGGAUGUCGACUGGUUUUGCUAUCCUGUCUGUGAGCUCCAGUCGGCCCCACCCCGACCCGCGGCCCUCAUCGUGCCCGCCACGGCGUGAGACAGGAGGGGUAGGGAAGGGCGGACCCUGCCCUUUUGCGGAAGGCAUGGAGAAGAAAAGCAGCAAUACCGUGAGAGCGGCGUACGGAGCUGAGCCUCCCCCUGGCCCUUCCUGGCGAUGUCUAGCGCCUUCUCGACACCGCCCACGUUAGACUAGAAAAUGCGGAUGGAGCCCAUCAACGGGAUAGCUUGCCUUCCUCUCUUUCCCUUUCUCCCUGAUCUCACACUAGCGAGGGCAG
rnacentral:misc_RNA from 1 species